UACGUAGGGUGCAAGCGUUAAUCGGAAUUACUGGGCGUAAAGCGUGCGCAGGCGGUUGUGCAAGACCGAUGUGAAAUCCCCGGGCUUAACCUGGGAACUGCAUUGGUGACUGCAUUGCUGGAGUAUGGCAGAGGGGGGGUGGAAUUCCACGUGUAGCAGUGAAAUGCGUAGAGAUGUGGAGGAACACCGAUGGCGAAGGCAGCCCCCUGGGCCAAUACUGACGCUCAUGCACGAAAGCGUGGGGAGCAAACAGG
rnacentral:rRNA from 1 species